rnacentral:rRNA from 1 species
UACGUAGGCAGCGAGCGUUGUUCGGAAUUAUUGGGCGUAAAGAGCUCGUAGGCGGUUUGUCGCGUCUGCUGUGAAAACUCGGGGCUUAACCCCGGGCCUGCAGUGGGUACGGGCAGACUAGAGUGCGGUAGGGGAGAGUGGAAUUCCUGGUGUAGCGGUGAAAUGCGCAGAUAUCAGGAGGAACACCGGUGGCGAAGGCGGGUCUCUGGGCCGAUACUGACGCUGAGGAGCGAAAGCGUGGGGAGCGAACAGG